GACGAACGCUGGCGGCGUGCUUAACACAUGCAAGUCGAACGGAAAGGCCCUGCUUUUGUGGGGUGCUCGAGUGGCGAACGGGUGAGUAACACGUGAGUAACCUGCCCUUGACUUUGGGAUAACUUCAGGAAACUGGGGCUAAUACCGGAUAGGAGCUCCUGCUGCAUGGUGGGGGUUGGAAAGUUUCGGCGGUAGGGGAUGGACUCGCGGCUUAUCAGCUUGUUGGUUGGGUAGUGGCUUACCAAGGCUUUGACGGGUAGCCGGCCUGAGAGGGUGACCGGCCACAUUGGGACUGAGAUACGGCCCAGACUCCUACGGGAGGCAGCAGUGGGGAAUAUUGCCCAAUGGGCGGAAGCCUGAUGCAGCAACGCCGCGUGCGGGAUGACGGCCUUCGGGUUGUAAACCGCUUUCGCCUGUGACGAAGCGUGAGUGACGGUAAUGGGUAAAGAAGCACCGGCUAACUACGUG
rnacentral:rRNA from 1 species